UACGUAGGGACCAAGCGUUAUCCGGAUUCACUGGGUUUAAAGGGUGCGUAGGUGGGCAGGUAAGUCAGUGGUGAAAUCUCCGGGCUUAACUCGGAAACUGCCAUUGAUACUAUCUGUCUUGAAUACCGUGGAGGUCAGCGGAAUAUGUCAUGUAGCGGUGAAAUGCUUAGAUAUGACAUAGAACACCAAUUGCGAAGGCAGCUGGCUAGACGAAUAUUGACACUGAUGCACGAAAGCGUGGGGAUCAAACAGG
rnacentral:rRNA from 1 species